GCCGGGAGUGGUGGCGCAUGCCUGUAAUCCCAGCUACUCGGGAGGCUGAGGUAGGAGAAUUGCUUGAACCCAGGAGGCAGAGAUUGCAGUGAGCCGAGAUUGCGCCACUGCACUCCAGCCUGGGUGACAGAGUGAGACUCCAUCUCAA
rnacentral:SRP_RNA from 1 species